UGUGUAAAAACACAAUGCUGUGUGGCAUGGUGUGUCCCUCCUGAUUGAAGAGGUGACUUUGCAAGAGGUUGAGUUUGGUCUUGGUGCUUUAGUAGCACACCGCAGUGCUGUCUUCACAGAGCAGCGCUCUUCCUCUGCUUGACAACAAAAUGUUGCUGUGAAAGACCAGUUUGCCGAAGUCCUAACCCAAGGUUGUCUCCUAGUUUGGACCAUUACCUUUUAAAUUUUU